rnacentral:rRNA from 1 species
UAGAUGCGAGAGUAGAGCAUAUCAAUAAGCGGAGGAAAAGAAACUAACAAGGAUUCCCUUAGUAACGGCGAGUGAAGCGGGAAGAGCUCAAAUUUGAAAUCUUCAAGGUUUACCUUGACGAAUUGUAGUUUAUAGAAGUGUUUUCUGUUAGUAGAGUUUGGUAAAAGUUCUUUGGAAUAGGACAUCAUAGAGGGUGAGAAUCCCGUAUUUGACCGUUACUUUCUAGCCUUGUGAUACACUUUCAAAGAGUCGGAUUGUUUGGGAAUGCAGUCCAAAAUGGGUGGUAAAUUUCAUCUAAAGCUAAAUAUUGGCGAGAGACCGAUAGCGAACAAGUACCGUGAGGGAAAGAUGAAAAGAACUUUGAAAAGAGAGUUAAACAGUACGUGAAAUUGUCAAAAGGGAAGCGUUUGACACCAGUGUUGUUUAGUUGAAAAUCAAUUCAAUAAUUUUUGAUUUUAAGUAGUAUUGACUUCAUCAGCUUGCUGCUUUCUUUUCAGGAAUUAUUGAAUGCACUUUUCAGUUAACAAGUCAACAUCAAUUUCUUUUGUUGUAAAAGGGUAAGAGGAAGGUGGCUUACGCUUCGGCGUAAGUGUUUAUAGCCUUUUACCUCUGCAAUCGGAGAGAUUGAGGACAGCAGCGUAGACUCUUCGGGGUUAGAUACACUUGUGCUAAGCUAUAGCCUUGUAUAGACAACUUGUUGACUAUGCUCAGUCAUGUAGCUUACUCGCUUGUGCUAUUUUACCUACGCUUAGGAUGUUGACACACGCGCGUGCUCG